UGAUUCUGAUGAGGUAUCUGUAUAAGGU
rnacentral:sRNA from 1 species